rnacentral:rRNA from 1 species
UACGGGGGGGGCAAGCGUUGUUCGGAAUUACUGGGCGUAAAGGGCUCGUAGGCGGCCAUCUAAGUCAGACGUGAAAUCCCCAGGCUUAACCUGGGAACUGCGUCUGAUACUGGAUGGCUUGAAUUCGGGAGAGGGAUGCAGAAUUCCAGGUGUAGCGGUGAAAUGCGUAGAUAUCUGGAGGAAUACCGGUGGCGAAGGCGGCAUCCUGGACCGACAUUGACGCUGAGGAGCGAAAGCUAGGGGAGCAAACGGG